rnacentral:rRNA from 1 species
UCCCAAACCCAAUGUGAACCAUACCAAACUGUUGCCUCGGCGGGGUCACGCCCCGGGUGCGUCGCAGCCCCGGAACCAGGCGCCCGCCGGAGGGACCAACCAAACUCUUUUCUGUAGUCCCCUCGCGGACGUUAUUUCUUACAGCUCUGAGCAAAAAUUCAAAAUGAAUCAAAACUUUCAACAACGGAUCUCUUGGUUCUGGCAUCGAUGAAGAACGCAGCGAAAUGCGAUAAGUAAUGUGAAUUGCAGAAUUCAGUGAAUCAUCGAAUCUUUGAACGCACAUUGCGCCCGCCAGUAUUCUGGCGGGCAUGCCUGUCCGAGCGUCAUUUCAACCCUCGAACCCCUCCGGGGGGUCGGCGUUGGGGACCUCGGGAGCCCCUAAGACGGGAUCCCGGCCCCGAAAUACAGUGGCGGUCUCGCCGCAGCCUCUCCUGCGCAGUAGUUUGCACAACUCGCACCGGGAGCGCGGCGCGUCCACGUCCGUAAAACACCCAACUUCUGAAAUGUUGACCUCGGAUCAGGUAGGAAUACCCGCUGAACUUAAGCAUAUCAAUAA